rnacentral:rRNA from 1 species
AACCUGCGGAAGGAUCAGU